rnacentral:sRNA from 1 species
CUGGUCAGGGACAAGGUCACCAAUGAACUCGAGCUCCUUCAGUUUGGAGAGAUUGUCGAUGCCUGAGAGAGAAUUCAUCUUGGUGAAGGACCAGAUGAUCUUCUCAAGCAUAGGAGCUGCUCCUUCGGUGAAGCUGAUGUCGGUGAUGGUAGGGCACUCAACAAUAAGAAGGUCGAGCUUGGGAAACUCACCUUUGUUGAAGGUAAGCAGGCUAUCAUCAUAAGAAUUGCCCAAGAGAAUUAGACAGCAUAUGCUUGGUCUUUUAGCGAAGAUUUGUAGGUCAGCAUGCUGCAUCAAGGUAGAGCGAAGAGUCACCUUGGAAAUUUUAUUGGCAUUUUCAAAUGAUGAAAGAAAGUUUCUCCCUCUUCAGAUAAUGAAAGAAGGAACUUGUUUCUCUUCAAUUCGAGCUCUUCCAGUUUUGGUAGGUCCCCGACCCCAUGAAGAGACUCUAUGUUAGUGAAGGACAAUACAAUCUUCUCGAGCCUUGGAGCUGCUCCUUUCUGAAAUUUGAUGCCUCUCAUGUUGUUGCCCUCGACAAGAAAGUACUUGAGAUUUUUGAAUUUGUGCUCAUUGAAGGUGAGUUUGCCAUCUGUGUAUCCCUUGUGUCUCAACCUAACAUAGCAUAAGUUGGGCAGAUCACCGAGACCCUCCAGAUUUUUCUGUUUCAAUGAGGUGCAACUCAAAGUUACCUUGGCAAGCUUAGUAAAACGUUCAACAAAUAAUAUAAGAAGCUGGCCCUUUUGCGUGGUACCCUGGAGGCACAGGCUCUCAAGAAGCUUAGGACGGUAUUUCAGGCAAUGGGAAAUAUACUGUGGUAAGUCUCCAUUGGAUGGAGUGCCCUCUCCUUUUGUACUGGGAAAAAUAGUGAUAGACAGAGACCGGAGGCACUCACAUAGGUCGCUGAUUGCUGUAAGCAAAUUUUUGAGUAUGCUCAUUACUUGAACUGUUUGAAUCAAUACAGCCAGCCAGCAGACGCUUUAGCUUAAGGAGCAGGAUAUGUUUUGUUGCAUACUCAGGCACCUCAGUUUGCGAAAUAUCCAGUACCUCCAGCUCAUAGAGGUUGUUGAUUUCACUAGGUAGCUGUGUAACAUCUGUUCUCCUUAGGCUCAAAUACUUGAGCAGUAAAAUAUUGUUGCAAAUGUCCUUGAGGUAGUGCUGGUUCCUCUGGAAGCAUUGACAACCUUCUAGAUCUAACACCUUAAGCAUUGACAUUUGAGAUGUUUCAGGGAGCUUUCUCAAGAACUUGUCUAUUCUAUCAGAGCCACGGAGUCGGAUGUCAUUGAAAAUUGAGAAAUGGCGAGCCAAAUGACGUGACAGACGUGCCUCCACAAUGUGUUGUUUCUUGGCAAUUCUGGUAAUAAACUCAUGAACAAGAUCGCCUACAAUGCCGUUCUUUACCUUUCCUGCACCACCAAUAUCACUUGGAUAGACAAGCCACAUAUCAAUGAGUGUAUCAAAACAUCGUUCAGCAUGAUGCACUGCACUAGGCCAGUCUUCCUUAGUUAUCAGCCCUUCUACAACCCAGCGCCCUACUAUGGUUGACCGUCUGACAGGGUAACCUGGAGGGAAGAUUGCUAGGUACAGGAAGCAUGACUUGUAUUCUUUACGGAGAUCAGUGUAGGAGAACUUUAUCAUCUUCUUAGCAUUGAUGCUUGAUUUAUUUGAAUCCAGGGAAUCAAGCAACUUGCGUAGAUCUUCUUUGCUCCUGUUGGGAUUGGCGUAGAGGGCAUGAGCGAAGAUCUUCAUGCAGAAUUCGCUUGGAUAACACUUGUCCAAGAUGUCGCGGAAAAUCUGGUUUACAUCUUUAUUCACCCUCUUCCUUGUAAGCUUGAGCAAAGUAUCAUAGUACAAGCCAGCAAUAGAAUUGGUUAUAGGCUCCUGCUGUGGACAGC